UAAUGAAUGCCUGCAUAAGUGUAACAACACAGAAAUAUGUGGCUCUCAUUGAUGCAGCAGGUUGUACCAGUGCCUGUCAUUCAUCAGACCAUAUAUGGGCAGGACAGGUCUCACUUCCUGCAUGCUUUUACCCAGGUCACGUGCUUUGUGUGGGAGUCGCAACCUCUGACACCUGAUCCAUUCCAGCAUUUUAUGAGCUCAUGCAAGAAGAAAAGGAUUCAUUUGUGCAAUUUUGUUUUGUUUGUUUGUUUUAAAUGAGUCACAAAUUCCAUUGAAGAGGAUUGAAGAGAGAGAGAGAGAGAGAGAGAGAGAGAGAGAGACUCUCUGUUCAACAGCUUCUUUUGAGUUUCAAGUUGGCACAAAUACCAGGUUGGUUUUCAGUCGUCUGAGUCUUGUUGUGGAUUUCAUUCAUGGGCUGAAUGUCACAAACGUAAAGUUUCCAGUUUCUGGUUCUGUCCUAAAAGAGAUGAUGGUCGGGUGUUCUGCACAAAUCAACCACAGAGGACAGAGUUAAAACAUCAUUAAAGCUGAAACAAGACGAAAGAACAAGCAGGAAAAGGCCAAUUCAUCCACCGUGCAUGAGAAUCUGCAGAGCUGCUGCUACUGAUGAACCUGUGGUCUUCAUGCAUUUCAUCACGUGCCAACGCGGAGCUUUUGUUCGGGGGAAAGGCCUCGUCUGUGACAGAACACGUGUCCUCUCUGUCA